rnacentral:rRNA from 1 species
UACAGAGGUCCCAAGCGUUGUUCGGAUUCACUGGGCGUAAAGGGUGCGUAGGUGGCGAGGUAAGUUUGGUGUGAAAUCUCUGAGCUCAACUCAGAAACUGCAUUAAAUACUACUUUGCUGGAGGGUCGGAAGGGAGACUGGAAUUCUCGGUGUAGCGGUGAAAUGCGUAGAUAUCGAGAGGAACACCAGUGGCGAAAGCGAGUCUCUGGACGACUCCUGACACUGAGGCACGAAAGCUAGGGGAGCAAACAGG